rnacentral:rRNA from 1 species
ACUCCUACGGGAGGCAGCAGUGAGGAAUCUUGCGCAAUGGGCGAAAGCCUGACGCAGCAACGCCACGUGGGGGAUGACGGCCUUCGGGUUGUAAACCUCUUUCGGUCUUGACGAAGGCAUCCUUGCUAGGGGUGUUGACGGUAGGGACAGAAGAAGCACCGGCUAACUACGUGCCAGCAGCCGCGGUAAU